GACGAACGCUGGCGGCGUGCUUAACACAUGCAAGUCGAACGGAAAGGCCCUGCUUUUGUGGGGUGCUCGAGUGGCGAACGGGUGAGUAACACGUGAGUAACCUGCCCUUGACUUUGGGAUAACUUCAGGAAACUGGGGCUAAUACCGGAUAGGAGCUCCUGCUGCAUGGUGGGGGUUGGAAAGUUUCGGCGGUUGGGGAUGGACUCGCGGCUUAUCAGCUUGUUGGUGGGGUAGUGGCUUACCAAGGCUUUGACGGGUAGCCGGCCUGAGAGGGUGACCGGACAAAUUGGGACUGAGAUACGGCCCAGACUACUAUGGGAGGCAGCAGUGGGGAAUAGUGCACAAUGGGAGGAAGGCUGAUGCAGCAACGCAGCGUGGGGGAUGACGGCAUUCGGGUUGGAAACCGAUUUCGCCUGUGACGAAGCGUGAGUGACGGUAAUGGGUAAAGAAGCACCGGCUAACUACGUG
rnacentral:rRNA from 1 species